CUCGGGACACCGCAGUCCCGAGAGUGUAUGGCUGUCGCCGUGAGGCACACGCAGCAGCGCUCUGAGCUGCGUGAGGUCGGAGGCACGCAGUGUUGUGCUACUGUGAGGCACAGGCCUGAGCAAUGUGGUGAGGCGUGUGGGUGCCCCGUUCCUGGAGGUGUCCGAGGCCAGGUCCUGGGUAGCCUGGUCUUGUGGGGGAUCAGCACACGUGGAGCUGUGUCCUGUGCCACAAAGCUGUCGGCAGGACAUGCACGCAGACUGCUGCAAUACACAGGUACACACGCUGACCUGAGAAACGCAGCCUGCUGCACUUUGGCAGACACACACGCCUAAAAUAUCCACGCCUGUUGACACUGACAGGCACAUGCCCUGCGCUGGCAGCCUGUGACACCUGAGACUUGUAGUGACAUGCAACCGCACACGCUCGCACACUGACCUGAAAGAACACGGGCCGUCACUAUGAGACCAGCAUAGACCAUAUGUUUAAAGAUGAAAAGACUGGGACACUCAAGUGCUGAAAAAUAAAAUUGUAACAAGAGAGCAAGAUUACGGCCUGCACUGAGACCUUGCUGCUGUGUGCUUCCCCUGGCAUGUCUGUCAACUGCAGAGAAACGAUCCUCAGACAACUGGAUAAACCAGACAUUGACACUAACAGAGCAUGUGACUGGAGUUAAGCAGUUUCUUCAGAUUGUCACCUGCUUCAGCCCGCAUAGCGUCAAAGUGGAACCUGAAAGGCUCAUAAAAGGUACAAUGAAAAUAAAGGGGUGAG